CUUUUAGAAAAUAACUGCUGGGGACUUCAUAUAUUAAAAUUGAAAAGAAUUUCUAGGAUAAAACAGACCAGAUUUCUGAUUCAUAAUCAUUUCUACUAACUAGCUUUUCUUUACUUCACUUCAGAAAUUUACCCAGGUUUUGACCUUAUUAGUUUAAGCUACUGCUGGAAAAAAAAAAA